rnacentral:rRNA from 1 species
GAAAUCUGACUUUACAGUCUGAGUUGUAAUUUGCAGAGGAUGUCUUAGGUACGAUACCGGUUUAAGUUCCUUGGAACAGGACGUCAUAGAGGGUGAGAAUCCCGUAUGCGACCGGAUAUUAAGUCUAUGUGAGACUCCUUCGACGAGUCGAGUUGUUUGGGAAUGCAGCUCUAAAUGGGUGGUAAAUUUCAUCUAAAGCUAAAUACCGGCCAGAGACCGAUAGCGCACAAGUAGAGUGAUCGAAAGAUGAAAAGCACUUUGGAAAGAGAGUUAAAAAGUACGUGAAAUUGUUGAAAGCGAAGCGCUUGUAACCAGACUUGUCCACGGGUGAUUAACCUUCCUUCGGGCUGGUGCACUCUCCCGUGAUCAGGCCAGUAUCGGUUUUAGCAAUCGGACAAAGACUUUGAGAAUGUAGCUCCCUUCGGGGAGUGUUAUAGCUCGUAGUAUAAUGCGAUUAGCUGGAACUGAGGACCGCGCU